GAUGAACGGCGACGGCGGGAUCCAUUCGACAGCAACCUACCGCUUCGCCUGCGGAUUUGAGGCCGGCGGCGCGGCUGCUGCUUCUCCGGAUCACGGUCGAUCAGGGCAUCGUGGGCGCCGAGGGAGUGCUGCUGCCGGAUUCGAUGUCGCCGCCAUCUCUGUUGCCGCCGAUGGGGUCCGUUUCGUAUCGGCCUUCUUCUUACGCCCUUCUGCCUUCCCCUCUUGCCGUGGCAUCUUUGGUGGCCUCUCCUGUGCGUGCGCGCGCCUCGGCGCCGGCCUUUCCCGCAUCUUUUGCGGUUGACGGUGCUUCGAUUUCGUCCCUCCAGUCUCACGAACAGCUCCCUGCUGCCCAUCUGAUGUUGAUGUUGAUGAUCGGGGAGCUGCUGGUUCAUCCGUUGAUGUUGAUGUUGAUUCUUGAGGCGUGCGAUUCUGUUGGGCAAAUGGCCUGUUGAUUCUACGGAUGGCAUUGUUUCUUUUCUUUGAUUUUCGUAUUUUCCAUCUCUUCUUGCUGGUUUUUUCUACAUUUCAUCUUCUGCAUUUGCUUGAUGUGCAGGUCAUCUUCUGCAUUUGCUUGCUACUCAUAUUCAGAGGUAUACUCACUGGUGCGUAUGUUAUUCGAUAAAUACAUCCUUUGUACCAUAAGGUUAAUCUCAAUCUUCUUCUCCUGGUUGUGCAGGCUAGCUGCUCCUGGCAAGCUGACUGCCAGCUAUCUACUUCAUGUUCUGCUAUAUGUUAUCUGACAGUUAUAGUGUGCCUCUUGGUGUUACCUAUAGGUAUAUAUAUGUACUGCUAAUGCCAGUAUGCCACUAUGUAUGAAUAAUCAGAUGUUUGUGUGCAUCUGGGAGGUUGGUCUGAGGGCCAAAUUAGCAUGUAUGCUUUGGAAUUCAAGUGAGAUCACAAACUUUUUGUGCGAUUUUGACAUGUGAUGUAUUGCACCUGGGUGCAAAACAUACAUGCUAAUUUGGUGACCCGGAGUGAUCUUGAUAAGCAGCAUGCAUGAUUUGUUUCAGCUAAUGCAUACACGAUUACAGAAUAUUGUGAGCAGCCUUAUGAUAUGGUUCAACUUAUUCUUUAUAUUGCAGGUUAACUGGUAUUUCUUUGCUUCAGUGGACUCUACUCGCCAUGCUACAUCUCAGAUUCUAGGAGGUAGUUUCUGUCAUUCCUUUUAUCCUCAUCGCUGAAUGUUUCUGUUUUUACAUCAGUAUGUCUAAUCGGACCACACUGCCAUUUCAAUUUGAUAAAAAAGACGCACACCUUUCUCUGUUAUUAAUGUCAAGAGAUCUUUCUAAUUGUGUUUUCUACCGGUUAGGUAUAGUAAUUUAUAUGUCUCCCUAGCUGCACAGUAUCGACUACUUAUUCGGCUUAUUUCUAUAGAGAAUAAGUUUUGGGGUUACAUUAGCGUGUCGACACCAUGAUUGUAAUCUACAGAGGACAGGUGCUAAAGUGCAAGAAAACUGUAUGAUAAUCUCAUUGGCACCUGUUAUUUUAGUCUAAUACUAAUAUGCAAACAGAGACUGUACAUAGUAAUUUACUAAGUCAGUUUGUAUCCUGAUUUAGAUUUAUUCAGUUCUAUAGCUAGAUUUCCAUUUAUUAACUGAUUUAUUUGACCUUUCCGUCGUCUUUUACUGAAAGUUUCCUUAUUAGCUACGUGAAAACACUUCUCAAUAUUGUUUGUUCUCAAUACUUCUCCCCAAGCAAUGUCGGUACUCUAAGAGUUUAUACAAUGCUGACAUAAACUUUCUGUUUCGUCAAUCAGUUUAUCUCCUUGCUGUAUGUGUACAAAAUUGCUUAUUUAUGAUACUUUUUACAUGAAACUUGCUGGUUCUAUUUGGUGUUAAAUAGCUGACAUAUCUCAAACAAAAUAGUUGAAAGAGAAGAAUAAACAAGAAAAUAUGAUGGUCGUUAUUUUUUUCCUUG
rnacentral:lncRNA from 1 species